AUAACUUAAUUAAUAUUUAACGAAAUACACGAAAGUUGAAAAAAGCAUUUCUGUUGGUUUUCGAAAUCUUACAGUGAAAAUGCUAAAAGGUGCCAGCAUCUUUCCCAAGAUUUCUUUAACCGAACAUGGGUAGCAGAAAAACUUUUUGCGUGUAUGUUCCUUUUUAUAUAAAUGCACUUAACAGUAGGAGGUUUCAUUUCUGUGGGAUUAUGUUAUGAUCUUAAAGGGAAUAAUUUCAUACUUAACAGUAAGGAGAUUUAUCUAAUUUAAAAUGAAAAUACAUGAAAUACAUAUUUUAAUAAUUUGAUAUUAAUUGUUCAAUUUAAAUGUUUUUAAUAAUGUUGGAACAAUAUAGUUUUCUUGGGAUCCACUCAACGUUGAUUGCUCCAAUCCCUUUAAGGGGCCAUUCUCAUGAAUUGCCGAACUAACCUGGUCUUAAGUGUGCUUCAUUAUAAUAUAUUACCACCUUUAUAUUGAAAUAGAAUUACAUGAAUUAGUUCACCUAAAGUGAUGUUCCAUCGACCUGACCUCUACUCGGACAGUCUUGGCGCCAGCUGACGUUGAUAGUAACAUAAGGAAAAGAUUAGUUUCAUUGUACUCACUUCGUUAAGUAUGUUUCGCAUUUUAAGUUAUGUCAACAAUUAAACAGUUAACGGUAAAACAAACACAAGGACCAGAAAACAAGCAAUAAGUUUAUAACAAACAGUCCAGCUCAAAACGACUCUUUUAUUUUAUUAGGAAGUCUUUAUAUAAUUUUCUCAACAUUCUCUUCAUAUAUUUAUUUAUGAAUUUAACAGUUAUUUACCAUGGUAUAUGAUAUUAGCUUUUUUUAAUUAAAUCUUCAUGAACAGUAAGAUGUUUCAGUAUCCACUGUACCGAAAGUGUCCAUCUCUCCCACCGGAAGUGAUGCCCGAUUCGACCUGAAGUGAUGUUCCAUUAACAAAACCUUCUCCCGACUAAUUGACGCAUCUUCUACACCAAACUUUCUUUCUUCGAACCAGCUGACGUCGUAUUUAUUUUAAAGAUUUCUUUAACCGAAACUCGGGGGGCAAAAACUUUUUUUGUGUUUUUAUAUAUUAAUAUGAAUAUUUUUGCAAAUAACGAUUUUAUUUCAUUUAGCAUAUCGUGUUCGUUUAUGACCGUAUCUAUUUAUCUGUUGAACAAUUGUUUGUUUUCCUUCUGUGUUAACAUUAGCUGUAUUUUGAAAUGUACAUAAAACGGUCCUUUCUUGCAGAACCCACGCUACCAUGGUAGGAGUGUCCAUUCGCGCAACCGGGAGUGGCGCCCCUUGCUGCAUUAAGAAACUUCCUUUUCGAGCCAGCUGCCGUCGAAAGUGCCCGUCAGCCGCGUCUCCGACCAUGGCCCCCUCCCGGCCCCGAGCGUUUCUGGAGGUCUCAUUGAUGUUCCAAUGGCUUUAUGGCAGGACUGGAACAGUAAGAAAGUGCCCGACAGCCGCGCCUCCGAACCCCACCCCCUCCCGGUUCCCCAGCGUCUCUGGAUGUUUCUAUCUCAUUGAUGUCCCAAUGGUUUUAUGGCAGGCCUGCGAUAUUAGUAAGAAUAUGCGGAACAGCCGCUUCCCCGACCGAAACCCAUCCCCGCUCCCGAGCGUUUCUGGAGGUCUCAUUGGUGUCUCAAUGGCUUUAUGGCAGGACUGGAUCAGUUAGAGAGUGCCCGACAGCCGCGUCUCCGACCCCACCCCUCCCGGCUCCCGAGCGCCGCUUCUUCGACCCCCACCCCUCCCGGCUCCCGAGCGUUUCCGGAGUUUUCCAUCUUAUUGAUGUCCCAAUGGCUUCACGGCAGGACUAGACCAGUUAGGGAAGAAAAAGUAUGCCAUCACAGCGUUUACCUUUCUGCAAAGAACACAACGAUAGAACAAACACAUUGACAACUCGAUAUAUCGCGUAUACAUGAAUCAUGUGAAUUGAACUGUUUUCUAUACAUCGUUGUUAGGGAGCUUACAGGUGAUGAGGCCCGACAUCUAGUGGUACGAGACAAAAUCCUGUAAUUCUGGAUGACAAACGGGCAGAGGUUUCUGAGUUUUCCCCCCAAAAAGAGGGUUUUAUCUCAGUUUUUCCUCGGCCAGUCGACCACGUCUGUAAGCUCAUGUUGCAAAUGCAUACUGUUUAUGCUUAUCAGUUUCUCCAAUGCUUCUCAAUGAAAUUCCAAUAAAUUUGAAAUGGUACGGAAGAGAAAUGUAUCAUCUUUGAAGAAAUUCUGUUUGUUUUUUUCGGACAUGUCUUUUAACUAGAUGAAUAUUGAUUUGUGUCAAAAUAUUGCAGUUGAUUUGUUAUAUUAACUUUAUAAUGUCUUUUUAUCAAUAUAAAGCUGCUUUUGAGUCAAAUGUUCUAAAUGAUUCUAGCUCCAAUUUCUCGAAACUUCAUAAGCUUAAGUCGCUUAUUUUAAUUAGCCAAAAUACAUACUAAUAAUGGAUUUUGAUAAAUGAAAAAUGGUUUCUUCUAAUUUGCAUACAGAUUUUUCUUAUAUAAUUUAUAAAAACUCUUAAAGAAGUAAAUAUAACACAUUCUGUAGAACAACAAAAAUAGUGAGUUUAGCUUAAUCCUGU